CGGAAAUAGAGUAGCAGGUCGGUAGCUCCUGCGCCCGCUCGAUAGCGGGUUCUUCCCAGCCACGG
rnacentral:ncRNA from 1 species